rnacentral:rRNA from 1 species
AGUGAACGCUGGCGGUAGGCCUAACACAUGCGAGUCGAACGGCAGCACAGUAAGAGCUUGCUCUUACGGGUGGCGAGUGGCGGACGGGUGAGGAAUACAUCGGAAUCUACUUUUUCGUGGGGGAUAACGUAGGGAGACUUACGCUAAUACCGCAUACGACCUACGGGUGAAAGCAGGGGAUCUUCGGACCUUGCGCGAUUGAAUGAGCCGAUGUCGGAUUAGCUAGUUGGCGGGGUAAAGGCCCACCAAGGCGACGAUCCGUAGCUGGUCUGAGAGGAUGAUCAGCCACACUGGAACUGAGACACGGUCCAGACUCCUACGGGAGGCAGCAGUGGGGAAUAUUGGACAAUGGGCGCAAGCCUGAUCCAGCCAUACCGCGUGGGUGAAGAAGGCCUUCGGGUUGUAAAGCCCUUUUGUUGGGAAAGAAAAGCAGCAGGUUAAUACCCCGCUGUUCUGACGGUACCCAAAGAAUAAGCACCGGCUAACUUCGUG